GUGGAAUGCGGAAGUAACGCGCGUCAUGGGGCAGCCGAUAGUUCCAAACACUGGAUAGUUCCAGCGCUGAGCCCCGUUCAUUUCAGUGUUUGCCUGCAGGACGGAUUUUGAGCGGAGAGUGGAGCGAUGACCAAGCUUGCAGAAAUGUCUGUCCACCAACCAGGACACUCUUCAAGUUCUGAACCAGAUGUGGGACAUCUGGCAUGAAAUAUAGCCUCCUGUCUGGUCAUGCAGGAUGUGAGAAUUAAAAAAGUGUUUCCUUGAAGACCUCACAUUCAAGGAAAACUUACCUACCUGGAUAUAAAAUAUAAUAAAAUGUAUUGUUGAAUGCAA